CUGAUACAAAGAGCUGACUCCUUGGAAAAGACUUUGAUGCUGAGAAAGAUUGAAGGCAAAAGGAGAAGGGCGCAGCAGUCGCUAAGAUGGUUAGGUGGAUUCUUUACCAACUGAGCUAUCAGGGAAGCUCCUACUGGAAUGCUAACUCCAAGGGAAAAGGAAUUUGCUUCUUCGGGGCACUGACGUAGCUUCAGCUCCUUGGCACGUGCAUUCCUUGGAGGGAGGCCUUGUCAUUGUCCCCCUUUACACAGAGGAGAAAAACAGGCUUCUAGAAGUUGCAUAUGGAUACCCUAUACAUACACACC
ensembl:lncRNA